GAUGAACGCUGGCGGCGUGCCUAAUACAUGCAAGUCGAACGGACGACUUCGGUCGUUAGUGGCGAACGGGUGAGUAACGCGUUGGUGACCUGCCCCGGAGUGUGGGAUAACAGGCCGAAAGGCUUGCUAACACCGCAUGAUGUAGUCGUGUUUAGAAAGCGACUAAGAAAAGGAGAAAUCCUGCUCUGGGAGGGGCCUGCGACCCAUCAGCUAGUUGGUAAGGUAACGGCCUACCAAGGCGAUGACGGGUAGGGGACCUGAGAGGGUGGCCCCCCACAAUGGAACUGAAACACGGUCCAUACACCUACGGGAGGCUG
rnacentral:rRNA from 1 species